rnacentral:rRNA from 1 species
GACAGAGGGUGCAAACGUUGUUCGGAAUUACUGGGCGUAAAGCGAGUGUAGGCGGUCUGAAAAGUCGGAUGUGAAAGCCCCGGGCUCAACCCGGGAAGUGCAUUCGAAACUGCCAGGCUAGAGUGUCGGAGAGGUUGGUGGAAUUCUCGGUGUAGAGGUGAAAUUCGUAGAUAUCGAGAGGAACACCGGUGACGAAGGCGGCCAACUGGACGAACACUGACGCUGAGACUCGAAAGCGUGGGGAGCAAACAGG